GAUGAACGCUGGCGGCGUGCCUAAUACAUGCAAGUCGAGCGAACGGGCGAGAAGCUUGCUUCUCUGAUGUUAGCGGCGGACGGGUGAGUAACACGUGGAUAACCUACCUAUAAGACUGGGAUAACUUCGGGAAACCGGAGCUAAUACCGGAUGAUAUUUUGAACCGCAUGGUUCAAAAGUGAAAGACGGUCUUGCUGUCACUUAUAGAUGGAUCCGCGCUGCAUUAGCUAGUUGGUAAGGUAACGGCUUACCAAGGCAACGAUGCAUAGCCGACCUGAGAGGGUGAUCGGCCACACUGGAACUGAGACACGGUCCAGACUCCUACGGGAGGCAGCAGUAGGGAAUCUUCCGCAAUGGGCGAAAGCCUGACGGAGCAACGCCGCGUGAGUGAUGAAGGUCUUCGGAUCGUAAAACUCCGUUAUUAGGGAAGAACAUAUGUGUAAGUAACUGUGCACAUCUUGACGGUACCUAAUCAGAAAGCCACGGCUAACUACGUG
rnacentral:rRNA from 1 species